rnacentral:rRNA from 1 species
UACGUAUGGGGCAAGCGUUAUCCGGAUUUACUGGGUGUAAAGGGAGCGUAGGCGGCGCGUUAAGUCUGAUGUGAAAACCCGAGGCUCAACCACGGGAGUGCAUUGGAAACUGGCGGGCUGGAGUGCCGGAGAGGUAAGCGGAAUUCCUAGUGUAGCGGUGAAAUGCGUAGAUAUUAGGAGGAACACCAGUGGCGAAGGCGGCUUACUGGACGGCAACUGACGCUGAGGCUCGAAAGCGUGGGGAGCAAACAGG